rnacentral:lncRNA from 1 species
GGAAAAGAGCAAACUUGUAAUAAUAUUGCGAUCAUUGAUUGUAUUUGGAAGAAAAUGUAAUGUAAUAAUGCAAAUGUGAUGUAAAAAUGAAUCUAAUGGGAAUGCUUGUAAUAACAUAGGAUGUGUUAUGUUGUUUGAUACCUUCCUUAUGCAAUCUUGCUUGAAUAUUGUUCCUGGUUGGAAUUUCUUGUAUUUGAAUUGAUUGCGACGCCUAGGACGUAUAGGGGAUACUCUGUCCGUUCGGCGGUCUGUCGGCGGCGCCGCGACCCGGCCAAAUAGGCGGGUGGUCGCGGGUCGUGACAGUAUCAGAGCCAAAGUGAAAGAAUAGGAAUAGACCUAGAGACCCUUAAGAUUGGAAGACCUUAAGGAUCUAGGAAACGUGAGUGAUGUG